rnacentral:lncRNA from 1 species
CUCCGCCUCAACAGUACAGAGUGGACAGCGGCUGGAAAUGGCGGUGUGCGGUGGUGGUGUACCUGUUGCAUUUGGGAUUUCACUGAGAGAAUAAGAAGGAAUCGACGAUGGACUGCUACGCAAGAAGGACGCAAGCAUUGCUGAGGAGCCAUUUGACCUGCCGCCACACUAAUAUUGUAUUUGGCAAAGCCGAAGGCCUCUGCAAGCAGCCAGUCAUUCCAAGUCUCAACCAAUCCUUCCUCUAGUCAGCCAAUUUCUAGUGUCUAUGCGGAAAGGACUUGCGCAAGAGUGUACACGGGACACUAAAAAAGCGACAAGGACAGGCGUAAACUUCCAACCGGUGUUCAUUACAAAAAGGUAUGUAUAUGUACUCUUGCACACUUGAUCAUAAUCUGUUACAAUCGUGCAAGUCAACAUGGUCAUCACAAAUAAACGAGUGCACCAAGGCCUAAGGCGGCUUCCCGCAUACAGACCCCAGAUAUUCAAAUUCUUUAACAGUCAGUGCUACAUAUAGGGAUGGCUUGCUAAUGCAGUUGCAUUCUGCAAUAGCCGCUGCCUCACUGAUGAGUCUAGUGUUUUCUUUCACACUGCUUGCUAUUAUUUCUGUUUUUAAAACAGUCGAUGACAUCUGCAUUGGGAGCAAUGGAUUCCAAGGAAACCUUCUUUCCCUUUUUGUACUUUCCGAUUAUGUUCCUGUAGUCUCAAGUUUAGGGAACUUCCUAUUUGUCCCACGUAACGCUGCCCGCAGGAAAGAGGUAUGCUAUACACUAUUCCUCUUGAGCAUUUGAUGAAACCCUUUCUGUGCACAAUGUUGCAUAAUUUUGAUUGUCUGCUGACAGGGCUGGUUUUGGCAC